rnacentral:rRNA from 1 species
UACGUAGGGUGCAAGCGUUGUCCGGAAUUAUUGGGCGUAAAGAGCUCGUAGGCGGUUUGUUGCGUCGGCUGUGAAAUCCCGAGGCUCAACCUCGGGUCUGCAGUCGAUACGAGCAAACUAGAGUGUUGCAGGGGAGACUGGAAUUCCUGGUGUAGCGGUGAAAUGCGCAGAUAUUGGGAGGAACACCGAUGGCGUAAGCAGCCAACUGGACGAUCACUGACGCUGAGAUACGAAAGUAUGGGGAGCAAACAGG